AUGCGAAUACUCGUUCUCUGGAUUGUUUGUGGAACUUGUCUGAUAGAGCCAAGUCAUGGCGAUUCUGUCACUCAGACGGUGUCCUCAGAAGUAAAGAUAGAAGGAGAGGAGGCGACUUUCAGCUGCAGCUAUGAUACUACAGAGAGCGACUACGACUUAUAUUGGUACCGGCAACGGUCAGACUCAAGACUUGAGUUCGUACUGAACGUAUAUUCAGGUGGAGGUGGAGGUAAAGCAGAUUUUGCCCAAAUUCGCUUCACCGCCAAUCUCCAGAAGGCAGGAAAAUUCUCCAGUUUGAGCAUCUCAUCGCUGCAGCUGAGCGACUCUGCAGUUUAUUACUGCGCCUUAGGAAGCACAGUGAUUGUGACCCCAGCGCAAAGAUACCCUGCGGAAUCCGACACGAGAGCCCCGGUGAUACUUAAGUGGACCUUGUCGUUGUCUUUCUGCAAUGCAGCCGAGAAACUCUCCGGGUAUUCUCGUGACGGAGAUACUGUUCCUGAGCAACGUGUCUUCAACACAUAUCUCGGCUUUUCCAAAUGA